CUAACAAAUGGAGGAGCUGGGAUUCAAACCCAGGGUGGGGGCCUCCAAGAAAAGGCCAGAAUCAGAGAAGAGCAGGGGUCCCAGAGUUAAGCUCUCUAGGCUCCAACACCGGCUCUGCGACUUUGGGCCCCUCCCCCCCGCAACUGCCCUUGGACAGCAGGUAAGAACAGAUUCAGUCUCCUUUGCUGACAAAUGAA